rnacentral:lncRNA from 1 species
UGUCAAGGUUAUUCAAAUCUAUUUAAGAGUGUUUGAUAGUGUUUUGGUAAGUUUCGAUACUUAAAUAUAUGAAAAACUGGGUUGGAACAUAAUGGGCCGACCUAUUAGGUCAUCUCCUUGCAAAGGGAAGCCAACAUGUAUCUGUCUUGGCCUUUGGCACGUAGUGGGGUGACCCAUGGGUCAACCUCUGAGAGCUUGAGACCAAGACAGAGAGCAUGAUUCUCUGUCUGACCAAUUGAGUUGACCCACUGCGGCGC